rnacentral:rRNA from 1 species
GACGAACGCUGGCGGCGUGCUUAACACAUGCAAGUCGAACGGAGUGGCGAACGGGGGAGUAAAACGUGGGUGACCUGCCCUGCACUUCGGGAAAAGCCUGGGAAACUGGGUCUAAUACCGGAGAGUGUGGGAUGGGCACGCGGCCUAUCAGCUUGUUGGUGGGGUAAUGGCCUACCAAGGAGGCGACGGGUAGCCGUCCUGAGAGGAUGGGGGGCCACAUUGGGACUGAGACACGGCCCAGACUCCUACGGGAGGCAGCAGGUGGGAAUAUUGCACAAUGGGCGGAAGCCUGAUGCAGCGACGCCGCGUGGGGGAUGACGGCCUUCGGGUUGUAAAGUACUUUCAGCGAGGAGGAGGUUAAUAACCUUGGUGAUUGACGUUACUCGCAGAAGAAGCACCGGCUAACUCCGUGCCAGCAGCCGCGGUAAUAC